rnacentral:rRNA from 1 species
GAUGAACGCUGGCGGCGUGCCUAAUACAUGCAAGUCGAGCGAACAGACGAGGAGCUUGCUCCUCUGACGUUAGCGGCGGACGGGUGAGUAACACGUGGAUAACCUACCUAUAAGACUGGGAUAACUUCGGGAAACCGGAGCUAAUACCGGAUAAUAUAUUGAACCGCAUGGUUCAAUAGUGAAAGACGGUUUUGCUGUCACUUAUAGAUGGAUCCGCGCCGCAUUAGCUAGUUGGUAAGGUAACGGCUUACCAAGGCAACGAUGCGUAGCCGACCUGAGAGGGGGAUCGGCCACACUGGAACUGAGACACGGUCCAGACUCCUACGGGAGGCAGCAGUAGGGAAUCUUCCGCAGUGGGCGAAAGCCUGACGGAGCAACGCCGCGUGAGUGAUGAAGGUCUUCGGAUCGUAAAACUCUGUUAUUAGGGAAGAACAAAUGUGUAAGUAACUAUGCACGUCUUGACGGUACCUAAUCAGAAAGCCACGGCUAACUACGU